rnacentral:lncRNA from 1 species
CAUGCGGCUUUUGGCGCGGUCUACAUGAAAUCCCACGUGGUCCACCCAGUAGAAAAAAAAAUAAAGAGUGCGCGACUUUUGGGCUUCCACAGGCUUCCAUGGGCACGCACGCGGAGGCAAAGUAAAACUUAGGGACACAAUACACACGCGGGAAUAGAAGAAAAGACUUGUUUGUUUCUUUUUGGAAAAAGACGCACGCGUAACGCACGCUGGAAGAAAAGAAGGAACGACAUGCACGAGUUUUGUGAAAAAGAUGUUUCUUUUUAGGGAAUUAUUUUAGAGAGAAAGUAAGACGUGGGUUAGCCAGGGCUUUGUGAGGUUUUAAGAUCUAUAAAAAGGGGUGUGUGGUGGCCCAAGGGGAAAAGCAGUAGGCAGCCACAUAAGUUAUUUUUUUUUAUUUUUUUAAGAUUUGAAAGAAAGAGAGAAUAGAGAAGAAGGAAAGCGCUUCAAGAAGAGGAGCUACUGUGACAGAGAUCCAAAUCUUCCAAAGGAUAUAUUCAGGAGCUAUAUUUGGCUA